AGUGAACGCUGGCGGUAGGCCUAACACAUGCAAGUCGAACGGCAGCACAGUAAGAGCUUGCUCUUACGGGUGGCGAGUGGCGGACGGGUGAGGAAUACAUCGGAAUCUACUUUUUCGUGGGGGAUAACGUAGGGAAACCUACGCUAAUACCGCAUAUGACCUACGGGGGAAAGCAGGGGAUCUUCUGACCUUGCGCGAUUGAAUGAGCCGAUGUCGGAUUAGCUAGUUGGCGGGGUAAAGGCCCACCAAGGCGACGACCCGUAGCUGGUGUGAGAGGAUGGUCAGCCACACUGGAACUGGGACAGGGUCCAGGGUCCUAAGGGAGGCCGCAGUGGGGAAUAUUGGACAAUGGGCGCAAGCCUGGUCCAGCCGUACCGCGUGGGUGAAGACGGCCUUCGGGUUGUAAAGACCUUUUGUUGGGAAAGAAAAGCAGCAGGUUAAUACCACGCGGUUCUGACGGUACCCAAAGAAUAAGCACCGGCUAACUUCGUG
rnacentral:rRNA from 1 species